rnacentral:lncRNA from 1 species
AGACUCCGGAGAGCGAUCUCCUCUGAGCCCACCGGCGUCAUAAACCUGAGUUCUCCAACUCUCCAAGUGCUCGCUUGGUUUCUCGCCGGGUCAAAGAGCUGAUCCACUGCAGCCACAGAGCUGCUGGAGCUGGGACACGACAGCCACAGGGCUGUCGCCAGAACUGAUAGGCUGCAGCCCAGGGCUUCUGGGCAGCUGCCAUAACACUGCCACGAGCAGAGGAAAGAGAAGUUGGGCCACGAGCAGGAAAAAGUGCAACUACAGACGGCGGAGACGGUAGCGUUGCACUCGACGGAAUCGCAACCAAACAGUGGCUACACCUUUUUGGAAUCCUGGCAGGUGUGUGAAACUGGCAUGGAAGAAGACCAACCGGGACACGCGCCUUCCGACGAAUGAACUGGGAGCCUGGGGUCUGUACAAUGCUCCAUUUUAUAAGCCAGGCUUCCCCUGACAGGUGAAAACUACAAAAAUUAGAACAGGGCCCACACACCCCAUUCCAGGUCUUACUUGACAUGGCCUUUAAGGUCUCAGGGAAGAGGCUUGUAAGUAUUGAGGGAAAUUUUUUCCGACCCUAAAGGAACAAAGUCAUCCUCUAGGAACUAGCCCGUGCCUUUGAGAUGCAAAUGUCUUACCUGACCUUCUGAAAUCCUUCUCUCACCAUCUUUUUGAAAUACAAAUUUCAGGAAAAGGGUCUAAGUUGGAAGUUGAAUUCUCAGGGACAAAGAAGUCCUAUGUCUUGUUCAUAAGCAUUAUUAAAAGGGGGGGUUAGCCAUCUAGACAGGUGACAAUGAUUUAUUCCAUCUGCCAGAAACCCAGUUUGAACCCAGUGUCUCUUGUAACUGACAGGUUUUAUACAGAUGUACCUUAUUCAUGGCUGAAACUUCGAAAUGGGAAAUAUGAGGUCUCUGUUUUGCUUGUUUGUACAUGUCUUUGUGUGUGUUAUGUAUGUAUGGCAUUGCCAAAAUUAAUUCUUAAAAGAGCUCAACUUAAUUGGCUUAAAGGAAAUUAAGCACUUACAUAAAUUCUCAAAAUACAUAAGGUAAAUUUUUGGUUCAUGUGAACUGGAAAAUACUCAGUAUUUGAUAUUCAUUUUUAGAUGUUAAUAUUGAAAUUAAAAUUUGUUUUUUUACUUUUAUUUUUUUGUUUUAGGGCCACACCCGAGGCAUAUGGAAUUUCCCUGGUGUGGGGUCUAAAUCCGCUGUGGCUGCUGGCCUAAACCACAGCCACAGUAACAUGGGAUCUGAGCCUGCAACCUACACCACGGCUCACAGCAGUGCUGGAUCCUUAACCCACUGAGUAAGGCCAGGGAUCGAACCUGCAUCCUCAUGGAUCCUAGUCGGGUUCAUUAACUGCUGAGCCACGAAGGGAACUCCAAGAUUAAAUUUUGUUGAUCUAAUUAAUAUAGACAUGUCUUUAGAGUCAUCGACAUAAGUAUAAUACCUAUUGUACCUAAGUUUGAUAAAAGUCAAAUGAGAUACUGAGACUUCAGUUACAAAACAGAGAAACUGAAGUCAUUUAAGACUAUUAAUCGGUAUGUUCAGUGCCAUCCUGAGAUGUUCAACAAGAAAGCGCAUGCCUUUAGAAACGAUAAAAGACAGUCCAUGGUUGCUUCAGAAUGUAGGAAAAGUGCCGGAGGCCAGCUCCAGCAACCAGGUCUGGCAGCCAGGGUGUAUACAUCCCGAUGGGAGAUGAGAUGGGAGAUGAACGGCGUUGGCUUUUGCAACGGAGACAGCCUCUUUGUCCCUUCUCUCAGGGCGCUGGACUGCUCAAAUUUUAUUAGCGUAAGUGGUUGAUUAUAUAGGCAGUUUUUUUAUUACAGAUUACAUCAUAGUGUUAAAAGUACAUUGGUUAACUAUUAGGCUUUGUUUUUUGAUCACAUGGUACAGUAGCAAUACAUCAUGUUUUAAAAUCUUCAGUUUAACUAAAUUUAGUGAGUACAAUUCAAGGACAAACAGGCACAGGAUAUCAUAUGGGAAAGAGGAGACCCAGUACAAACCAUCUCAUGGCCAGCCAGUUCCCACAAGCUGAAGAAAUUACAGACACAAAAAACUCAUCUUCAGACUAGUGUCUAUCUUUAAAGUGUCCUUGGCAGGGAAACAGUAUGAGAAAAUACAAAUCAACUUAGCUGCUACCGCUAAAAUUUUCUAAAGUCAAGGACAAAACUCACAGCUGGGUUUCUUUUGAUGAAGAAUAAUAUAUGUCUAACUUCUAUAGACCUCAUUAAAAUCCUAACUUUAAAGUUUACUGUAUAACUAGUUAGUAGAUAAACACGAUGUUUUAAUUAAGUUGGAUUUAAAUAGGGGAAAGUCCUUCAGGAUGAAAUUCUUAUAUUAUUUUUGUAAUUUUGUUGAAGCACAAACCAAAUCACCACAGGAAAAUAAGAAUGGUAAAUAAGAAUAAUAAGCAAAUAAUCAGGAAAGACUGAGGAAAAACUGAAUAACAAAACAACAGGAAAGACUAGGUCACCGAGAAACAAUGCAUGUUCCCCGGUGCAAACAUGGAAAUUGUUUCCCAGGAAAGCCCCAAUUCUUCCCCAUCAACAUCAAAAUGAGAGCCCUGUAACCUGAGGCCUGCCCUCGGCUUGUACUGUUCAGGCAGGCUUCUAUCCUGACCAGAAGCCCACCUUCGGCAUGUACCCUUCAGGUGAGCUCCCUUCCUUGGUUAGGAACCUGCCUUCAGGUUUUUCUGCCGACAGGCAAGGUCCUUUUUUCUGAUUAGGAACCUGCCCUCGGUUUUGCAAGUACAGGCAAGCUCCCUUCCUUGGCUUCUUGUAUCUUCUCGGCUCCCCACAGAAAAAAGUAAGCUAGUUGCAAAACUUGAAUUUGAAUUCGGUCUCUCUGUUAAAACAAGAUUUUUUUGAAAUGCUGCUUUUGAUAACAGAUUAUAUGAAUUUCUUUGCCUUGAAUUUGUAUUUGCUUUUGAAAUCCUUUGUUACGUUGGUUGAAUGAAUAAGUAAUGUGAAACAAUAAUCUAUGAUUCUAUCUGACCAGGUAUUUUUAAACUUUUCCUUGUGUGUUUUUCUUUUCUUUCUUUCUUUCUUUUUUUUUUUUUUUUACAAACUAAGUGUAAAUUACAGGGGA